rnacentral:rRNA from 1 species
UACGUAGGGGGCUAGCGUUGUCCGGAAUCAUUGGGCGUAAAGAGCGCGUAGGCGGUUCGGCAAGUCCGCUGUGAAAGCCCAGGGCUCAACCCUGGAAUGCCGGUGGAUACUGUCGGGCUAGAGUCCGGAAGAGGCGAGUGGAAUUCCUGGUGUAGCGGUGAAAUGCGCAGAUAUCAGGAGGAACACCAAUGGCGAAGGCAGCUCGCUGGGACGGUACUGACGCUGAGACGCGAAAGCGUGGGGAGCAAACAGG